UUUUUAAUGAAAAGUCCUGAAAA
rnacentral:siRNA from 1 species